rnacentral:rRNA from 1 species
CCUGAGAAACGGCUACCACAUCCAAGGAAGGCAGCAGGCGCGCAAAUUACCCACUCCCGGCACGGGGAGGUAGUGACGAAAAAUAACAAUACGGGACUCUUUUGAGACCCCGUAAUUGGAAUGAGUACACUCUAAAUCCUUUAACGAUUAUCAAUUGGAGGGCAAGCCAAGUGCCAGCAGCCGCGGUAACUCUUGCUCCAAUAGCGUAUAUUAAAGUUGUUGCGGUUAAAAAGCUCGUAGUUGGAUCUCAGUUCCAGACGGGCGGUCCGCCUACCGGUGGUCACUGCCCGUACUGAACAGGCCAGCCGGUUUCUCUUGAUGAUCUUUACCGGUUGUCUUGGGUGACCGGCAAGUUUACUUUGAAAAAAUUAGAGUGCUCAAAGCAGGCGCGACGCCUGAAUAAUGGUGCAUGGAAUAAUGGAAUAGGACCUCGGUUCUAUUUUGUUGGUUUUCGGAACACGAGGUAAUGAUUAAGAGGGACAGACGGGGGCAUUCGUAUUGCGACGCUAGAG